AUUUCAAAAGAGUCAAAUUAGAAGAAUCGAAAUCUUGGCAUUGCAAGUUCAUUGGAAAGAUUGAAAAGGACAAUGACGGUGCCGAGAGAGAAAAGAGGUUCUCAACCUGCGUACAGUAAGUGGCCCUUUGCUUUUGAAAUGGAAUCGAUGAAAGUAAGAGAUUUAUAGAGUGUGGUCCAGGUUUAAGCUUCUUUAUUAUCUGCUUGCUUUGUUGGGUCG
rnacentral:lncRNA from 1 species